AAGUCGUAACAAGGUUUCCGUAGGUGAACCUGCGGAAGGAUCAUUACAAAUAAAGCUGGUAGGAAGUGGGGUCUUGAUCUGUAAGUGGUAGAGCGAACAGUCCGGCUGCCUCCCGAAAUGUCUUACAUGUCCCCCACAGCCUGAAGGCCGAAUUACAACCCUUGAUUAUCUACACUUGUUGCUUUGGCGGGUCUGGGGCGUCUGCCCCCGCUGGCCUCAUCGCCGGCGCGUGCCCGUCAGAGGCCCUCAUCACUCUGAUUCUCCAUGCAGUCUGAGCAAACACAUCAAUACAGCAAAA
rnacentral:misc_RNA from 1 species